UACGUAGGCAGCAAGCGUUGUUCGGAAUUACUGGGCGUAAAGAGUGUGUAGGCGGUGCUCUAAGUUCGGUGUGAAAUCUCCCGGCUCAACUGGGAGGGUGCGCCGAAAACUGGGGGUGCUGGAGCGCGGGAGAGGAAAGCGGAAUUCCUGGUGUAGCGGUGAAAAUGCGUAGAUAUCAGGAGGAACACCGGCGGUGUAGACGGCUUUCUGGACCGUAGCUGACGCUGAGACACGAAAGCGUGGGUAGCAAACAGG
rnacentral:rRNA from 1 species